rnacentral:rRNA from 1 species
UCUGCAACUCGACUACAUGAAGCUGGAAUCGCUAGUAAUCGCGAAUCAGAAUGUCGCGGGUGAAUACGUUCCCGGGUCUUGUACACACCGCCCGUCACACCAUGGGAGUCGGAAAUGCCCGAAGUCAGUGACCUAACCGAAAGGAAGGAGCUGCCGAAGGUGGAGCCGGUAACUGGGGUGAAGUCGUAACAAGGUAAC